rnacentral:lncRNA from 1 species
CCCGGCCCAUGUGUGUUACCAGAGGGAUGGUCUAGAGAAUGAAUCCAUCUGUCAGAGGCAUCCAAGAAGAAAGGCCUGGGCCAGGAUCACAUGGAAGACCCUGAAGACAGGAUCGGGUCUUGCCUGCCUGGAUUGAACAGAGACGCAGUGACCAGUCCCAUCUGCUCCCACCCUGCUGCCCUCUGAAUCGAGAGUUUGAGGCCAUGACCAGGGUAACGUUCAGCUGGUAGAGACAACACAACCCUGCUGGCUGUUUAAGCCAUGCUGGAGUGGUGCUCACAGGGUAACAAUUUUCAAGUGCUACGGAUGCAAUAGCUCAGCGACUGGCAGCGCAGCACG